UACGGAGGGUGCAAGCGUUAUCCGGAUUCACUGGGUUUAAAGGGUGCGUAGGAGGGCAGGUAAGUCAGUGGUGAAAUCUCCAAGCUUAACUUGGAAACUGCCGUUGAUACUAUCUGUCUUGAAUAUUGUGGAGGUGAGCGGAAUAUGUCAUGUAGCGGUGAAAUGCUUAGAUAUGACAUAGAACACCAAUUGCGAAGGCAGCUCACUACACAAUCAUUGACUCUGAGGCACGAAAGCGUGGGGAGCAAACAGG
rnacentral:rRNA from 1 species